UUGAUAGUACCUUACUACUUGGAUAACCGUGGUAAUUCUAGAGCUAAUACAUGCUGAAAACCCCGACUUCGGAAGGGGUGUAUUUAUUAGAUAAAAAACCAACGCCCUUCGGGGCUUCUUGGUGAUUCAUAAUAACUUUACGGAUCGCAUGGCCCUUGCGCCGGCGACGGUUCAUUCAAAUUUCUGCCCUAUCAACUUUCGAUGGUAAGGUAUUGGCUUACCAUGGUUUCAACGGGUAACGGGGAAUUAGGGUUCGAUUCCGGAGAGGGAGCCUGAGAAACGGCUACCACAUCCAAGGAAGGCAGCAGGCGCGCAAAUUACCCAAUCCCGACACGGGGAGGUAGUGACAAUAAAUACUGAUACAGGGCUCUUUUGGGUCUUGUAAUUGGAAUGAGUACAAUUUAAACCUCUUAACGAGGAACAAUUGGAGGGCAAGUCUGGUGCCAGCAGCCGCGGUAAUUCCAGCUCCAAUAGCGUAUAUUAAAGUUGUUGCAGUUAAAAAGCUCGUAGUUGAAACUUGGGUCUGGCUGGCAGGUCCGCCUCACCGCGUGUACUUGUCCGGCCGGGCCUUCCUUCUGGAGAACCUCAUGCCCUUCACUGGGCGUGUUGGGGACCAGGACUUUUACUUUGAAAAAAUUAGAGUGUUCAAAGCAGGCCUUUGCUCGAAUACGUUAGCAUGGAAUAAUAGAAUAGGACGUGCGUUCCUAUUUUGUUGGUUUCUAGGAACGCCGUAAUGAUUAAUAGGGACAGUCGGGGGCAUCAGUAUUCAAUUGUCAGAGGUGAAAUUCUUGGAUUUAUUGAAGACUAACUACUGCGAAAGCAUUUGCCAAGGAUGUUUUCAUUAAUCAGUGAACGAAAGUUAGGGGAUCGAAGACGAUCAGAUACCGUCGUAGUCUUAACCGUAAACUAUGCCGACUAGGGAUCGGGCGAUGUUCUUUUUCUGACUCGCUCGGCACCUUACGAGAAAUCAAA
rnacentral:rRNA from 1 species